GACAGAGGUUGCAAGCGUUGUUCGGAAUUACUGGGCCUAAAGCGCACGUAGGCGGUCCGCUAAGUCAUGUGUGAAAUCCCCCGGCUCAACCGGGGAAUGGCGCCUGAUACUGGCGGACUCGAGAUCGGUAGGGGUGAGUGGAACUGCGAGUGUAGAGGUGAAAUUCGUAGAUAUUCGCAAGAACACCAGUGGCUAAGGCGGCUCUCUGGCACGAUACUGACGCUGAGGUGCGAAAGCGUGGGGAGCAAACAGG
rnacentral:rRNA from 1 species